AUUGAACGCUGGCGGCAGGCUUAACACAUGCAAGUCGAACGAGUGGCGGACGGGUGAGUAAUGCUUGGGCAUCUAGCUUAUGUAGGGGGAUAACUACGGGAAACUGUAGCUAAUACCGCGUAACAUAGGAUGAGCCCAAGUGGGAUUAGGUAGUGGGUGAGGUAAAGGCUCACCAAGCCGACGAUCCCUAGCUGGUCUGAGAGGAGGACCAGCCACACUGGGACUGAGACACGGCCCAGACUCCUACGGGAGGCAGCAGUGGGGAAUAUUCGGCAAUGGGGGCAACCUGACGCAGCCACGCCGCGUGAGUGAAGAAGGCCUUCGGGUUGUAAAGUUCUUUCGGUAGCGAAGCGGUAACUACACAAAAAGCACCGGCUAACUCCGUGCCAGCCGCCGCGGUAAUUC
rnacentral:rRNA from 1 species